rnacentral:rRNA from 1 species
CGUUCUGUAAGCCUGUGAAGGUGUGCUGUGAGGCAUGCUGGAGGUAUCAGAAGUGCGAAUGCUGACAUAAGUAACGAUAAAGCGGGUGAAAAGCCCGCUCGCCGGAAGACCAAGGGUUCCUGUCCAACGUUAAUCGGGGCAGGGUGAGUCGACCCCUAAGGCGAGGCCGAAAGGCGUAGUCGAUGGGAAACAGGUUAAUAUUCCUGUACUUGGUGUUACUGCGAAGGGGGGACGGAGAAGGCUAUGUUGGCCGGGCGACGGUUGUCCCGGUUUAAGCGUGUAGGCUGGUUUUCCAGGCAAAUCCGGAAAAUCAAGGCUGAGGCGUGAUGACGAGGCACUACGGUGCUGAAGCAACAAAUGCCCUGCUUCCAGGAAAAGCCUCUAAGCAUCAGGUAACAUCAAAUCGUACCCCAAACCGACACAGGUGGUCAGGUAGAGAAUACCAAGGCGCUUGAGAGAACUCGGGUGAAGGAACUAGGCAAAAUGGUGCCGUAACUUCGGGAGAAGGCACGCUGAUAUGUAGGUGAAGUCCCUCGCGGAUGG